rnacentral:rRNA from 1 species
UACGUAGGGGGCAAGCGUUGUCCGGAUUUAUUGGGCGUAAAGAGCGUGUAGGCGGCCAAACAGGUCAGCUGUGAAAACUCGAGGCUCAACCUCGAGACGUCGGUUGAAACCGUUUGGCUAGAGUCCGGAAGAGGAGAGUGGAAUUCCCGGUGUAGCGGUGAAAUGCGCAGAUAUCGGGAGGAACACCAGUGGCGAAGGCGGUUGCCUGGGGCUUUGCUGACGCUGAUGCGCGAAAGCGUGGGGAGCGAUCCGG